rnacentral:rRNA from 1 species
GCGUGCCUAAUACAUGCAAGUCGAACGAACUCUGGUAUUGAUUGGUGCUUGCAUCAUGAUUUACAUUUGAGUGAGUGGCGAACUGGUGAGUAACACGUGGGAAACCUGCCCAGAAGCGGGGGAUAACACCUGGAAACAGAUGCUAAUACCGCAUAACAACUUGGACCGCAUGGUCCGAGCUUGAAAGAUGGCUUCGGCUAUCACUUUUGGAUGGUCCCGCGGCGUAUUAGCUAGAUGGUGGGGUAACGGCUCACCAUGGCAAUGAUACGUAGCCGACCUGAGAGGGUAAUCGGCCACAUUGGGACUGAGACACGGCCCAAACUCCUACGGGAGGCAGCAGUAGGGAAUCUUCCACAAUGGACGAAAGUCUGAUGGAGCAACGCCGCGUGAGUGAAGAAGGGUUUCGGCUCGUAAAACUCUGUUGUUAAAGAAGAACAUAUCUGAGAGUAACUGUUCAGGUAUUGACGGUAUUUAACCAGAAAGCCACGGCUAACUACGUGCCAGCAGCCGCGGUAAUACGUAGGUGGCAAGCGUUGUCCGGAUUUAUUGGGCGUAAAGCGAGCGCAGGCGGUUUUUUAAGUCUGAUGUGAAAGCCUUCGGCUCAACCGAAGAAGUGCAUCGGAAACUGGGAAACUUGAGUGCAGAAGAGGACAGUGGAACUCCAUGUGUAGCGGUGAAAUGCGUAGAUAUAUGGAAGAACACCAGUGGCGAAGGCGGCUGUCUGGUCUGUAACUGACGCUGAGGCUCGAAAGUAUGGGUAGCAAACAGGAUUAGAUACCCUGGUAGUCCAUACCGUAAACGAUGAAUGCUAAGUGUUGGAGGGUUUCCGCCCUUCAGUGCUGCAGCUAACGCAUUAAGCAUUCCGCCUGGGGAGUACGGCCGCAAGGCUGAAACUCAAAGGAAUUGACGGGGGCCCGCACAAGCGGUGGAGCAUGUGGUUUAAUUCGAAGCUACGCGAAGAACCUUACCAGGUCUUGACAUACUAUGCAAAUCUAAGAGAUUAGACGUUCCCUUCGGGGACAUGGAUACAGGUGGUGCAUGGUUGUCGUCAGCUCGUGUCGUGAGAUGUUGGGUUAAGUCCCGCAACGAGCGCAACCCUUAUUAUCAGUUGCCAGCAUUAAGUUGGGCACUCUGGUGAGACUGCCGGUGACAAACCGGAGGAAGGUGGGGAUGACGUCAAAUCAUCAUGCCCCUUAUGACCUGGGCUACACACGUGCUACAAUGGAUGGUACAACGAGUUGCGAACUCGCGAGAGUAAGCUAAUCUCUUAAAGCCAUUCUCAGUUCGGAUUGUAGGCUGCAACUCGCCUACAUGAAGUCGGAAUCGCUAGUAAUCGCGGAUCAGCAUGCCGCGGUGAAUACGUUCCCGGGCCUUGUACACACCGCCCGUCACACCAUGAGGAGUUUGUAACACCCAAAGUCGGUGGGGUAACCUUUUAGGAACCAGCCGCCUAAAGGUUGA